UACGGAAGGCAGCAGUGGGGAAUAUUGCACAAUGGGCGAAAGCCUGAUGCAGCUAUGCCGCGUGUAUGAAGAAGGCCUUAGGGUUGUAAAGUACUUUCAUCGGGGAGGAAAAAACAAAACUAAUAAUUUUAUUUCUUGACGUUACCCGAAAAAGAAGCACCGGCUAACUCCGUGCCAGCAGCCGCGGUAAUACGGAGGGUGCUAGCGUUAAUCAGAAUUACUGGGCGUAAAGAGCACGUAGGUGGUUUUUUUAAGUCAGAUGUGAAAUCCCUGGGCUUAACCUGGAACUGCAUUUUGAAACUGAAAUACUAGAGUAUCGUAGAGGGAGGUAGAAUUCUAGGUGUAGCGGUGAAAUGCGUAGAUAUCUGGAGGAAUACCUGUGGCGAAAGCGGCCUCCUAAACGAAUACUGACACUGAGGUGCGAAAGCGUUGGGGAGCAAACGAGGAUUAGAUA
rnacentral:rRNA from 1 species